AGGCUAGGGGACAGAGGGAGAGGCUAGGGACAGGGGGAGAUAGGGACAGAGGGACAGAGGCUAGGGGACAGGGGGAGAUAGGGGCUGUGGGAGGGAGGGAGAAGGGGAGAGAGGCUAGGGGACAGAGGGACAGAGGCUAGAGGGGACAGGGGGGGAGAUAGGGGCUGUGGGAGGGAGGGAGAAGGGGACAGAGGCUAGGGGACAGAGGGACAGAGGGACAGAGGCUAGGGGACAGGGGGAGAUAGGGGCUGACAGGGGGAGGGAGGGAGGGGGGAGAAGGGGAGAGAGGCUAGGGGACAGAGGGAGAUAGGGGGGACAGAGGCUAGGGGACAGGGGGGGAGAUAGGGGGGCUGUGGGAGGGAGGGAGAAGGGGAGAGAGGCUGUUAUAGAAAAGGAAAGGGAGUACAGUGAGAAUCUACAGUAGCGUUUUCCAAACUCGGUCCUGGCCCCGCCCCCCCCUGGGUGCAUGUUUUGGUUCUUGCCCUAGCACUACACAGAUUACUCAAAUAAUCUUCAAGCAUGAUUAUUUGAAUCAGCUGUGCAGUGCCAAAAGGUGUCCCCCUUGGGGUCCCCUGGACCUAGUUUGGGAAACACUGCUCUACAACAACAGAAGUGUGGAGAAUGACAUCACCAAUGACAUUAUUUCAUUUAUUUUUUUCGUAUUAAAAACCCUAAUUUAAAAAUAAAAAAAAUCUAUACUUCCUGUUGUAGAUCGCAGAUUCCAUGAGAGGGGAUUGGCUAACUGGACAAACCAACCAAUGAGAGACGGCCUUGGAAGGAUAAAGUAAAAAAAAAAAAAAAAAAAAAAAACAUGAUGAGGAUCGCCCAGUCACUUCGGCCAUUGGUGUCUCAGAAGUUUGGUCGCUUGUUAAAAUGUCCAGUCCCUCUUUGACCACAACCCCAAUUGAAAAACCCCACUGUACAAACAUCUUUGUAAACAACACAAGGGCUGCCUCCAAAAUUGCACCCUAAUUCCUUAUAUAGUGUACUACUUUUGACCAGGGCCCAUAGGGAAACCAAGAGGGAAACCAGUAGGGAAACCAGUAGGGAAACCAAUAGAAAAACCAACAGGGAAACCAACGGGGAAACCAACAGGGAAACCAACAGGGAAACCAACAGGGAAACCAACAGGGAAACCAACAGGGAAACCAAUAGGGAAACCAAUAGGGAAACCAAUAGGGAAACCCACAGGGAAACCCACAGGGAAACCCACAGGGAAACCAAUAGGGAAACCAAUAGGGAAACCCACAGGGAAACCAUUGGGCUCUGGUCAAAUAUAAUACACUUGGGUGCCAUUUCAGACGCUAGAAAACCCAGGCAAGACAUAGAAAGAUGAUUGGAUCAUAGAUAGAUUCUCCAGAAAGAAAGAUGAUUGGAUCAUAGAUAGAUUCUCCAGAAAGAAAAAAAAAACUAUUUGAAGGCAACAUCAUCAGGCUAAAAGACAAUAUGAUCAUUACUGAAAAAACAUGAUACUUUUUUUUCUCUUUUUACACAUAUAAUCAUCACUGUUGUAUCCACAGGUUUACUUCUCAAAUAAAACUCACAUAUAAUAAUAACUGGUUGUAGCCACAGGUUUACUCCUCAAAAUAAAACUCAUAUCAAUAGCUGUCGCAGUAUAGCAUCUCUCAGUAGAGACAAAACUAGUCAUUUAAAAAAAAGACAGAAGAAGACAGAGAAAUGAUGUUGAAUGAUCGAAGGAAAAUAAAAAAAGUUAGAAAAUAAACCCCAGGAGCAAGUUAUCUGUAUGAACUGAACUAUAUAGGGUGCCUCUUUGGGACUUUGUCUUUUUCUCUCUGGCUAAUAUAGAGGUGCUUAUAAAUACCGCAUCACCGUGGCAACGUGCACAUUCUGGUUAGACAUCCGUUUCUACGGCUACUGUCUCCGUUAGCAAUAACACUGUGUGUAGGAAUCGGGAUUUUAUUUUGGUUCAUAUUGACUGAUUUACCUAUUUCAUUUUACUUUAUUUUAUGAACGUAAUCUUUCCAUUUCAGUUGCAUACAGUUGGAAUAUCUAUAUUUCUAAGUAGAAAUCUUGUUCUCGUGACACUGGAGAGUGAUAAUGGUUAAUCUGUGUGUAAAAACUGAUGUAUUGUAGCUUUGAAUCCAUUGGUCGGUUUGUUUGUUGGUUGUUAAAGGGGCGUCACCACACAGGAAAGUCCAUUCCAUGUUAGGUUUUAGUAACGUCGGAAUGCUGGCACUGCUGAGAGAGACAGCAGCAAAUCAGACCUGAGAGAGAGAGAGAGAGGUGGGUAGAGAGAGAGAGAGAGGUGGGUAGAGAGAGAGAGAGAGGUGGGUAGAGAGAGAGAGAGAGGUGGGUAGAGAGAGAGAGAGAGGUGGGUAGAGAGAGAGAGAGAGAGAGAGAGAGAGAGAGAGAAGGUGGGUAGAGAGAGAGAAG
ensembl:lncRNA